rnacentral:rRNA from 1 species
AACGAACGCUGGCGGCGUGCCUAAGACAUGCAAGUCGUGCGGAAAGGCUCCUUCGGGAGUACUCGAGCGGCGCACGGGUGAGUAACACGUGGGUAACCUACCUGAGGGUCUGGGAUAACUCCGGGAAACUGGGGCUAAUACCAGAUGAGACCACAGCGUCUUCGGGCGCAGCGGUCAAAGAUGGCCUCUCCUUGGAAGCUAUCGCCUACAGAUGAGCCCGCGUCCCAUUAGCUAGUUGGCGGGGUAACGGCCCACCAAGGCGACGAUGGGUAGCUGGUCUGAGAGGAUGAUCAGCCACACUGGAACUGAGACACGGUCCAGACUCCUACGGGAGGCAGCAGUCGGGAA